GUGCUUGCUUCAGCAGCACAUACGCUAAAGUUGGAAUGAUACAGAGAAGAUUAGCAUAGCCCUUGCACAAGGAUGAGACUCAAAUUCAUGAAUCAUUCCAUAUUUUU